GGUGUAGGGCGAGGUGUAGGCAAAUCCGCACCUCACAUAGCCUGAGACCUGACAGUGACCGCGAAUGCGGGAAGCAGGGUGAUCCCUUGCUGCCAAGAAAAUCUUCUAGCGAGGUUCGAGCCGCCCGUACCCCAAACCGACUCAGGUGGUCAGGUAGAGAAUACCAAGGCGAUCGAGUGAAUCGUGGUUAAGGAAUUCGGCGAAAUACCCCCGUAACUUCGGGAGAAGGGGGGCCCUGAUCGUGACGGCACUUGCUGCCCGAGCGUGAUCGGCCGCAGAGACCAGGGAGAAGCGACUGUUUACUAAAAACACAGGUCCGUGCGAAGUCGCAAGACGAUGUAUACGGACUGACGCCUGCCCGGUGCUGGAACGUUAAGGGGACCGGUUAGCCUCACGGCGAAGCUGAGAACUUAAGCGCCAGUAAACGGCGGUGGUAACUAUAACCAUCCUAAGGUAGCGAAAUUCCUUGUCGGGUAAGUUCCGACCUGCACGAAUGGCGUAACGAUUUCUCCACUGUCUCAACCACGAACUCGGCGAAAUUGCACUACGAGUAAAGAUGCUCGUUACGCGCAGAAGGACGGAAAGACCCCGGGACCUUUACUAUAGCUUGAUAUUGGUCUUCGGUGCGGCUUGUGUAGGAUAGGUGGGAGACUGUGAAGUCGGCACGCCAGUGUCGGUGGAGUCAACGUUGAAAUACCACUCUGGUCGUUCUGGAGAUCUAACCUCGGUCCGUGAUCCGGAUCAGGGACAGUGUCUGGUGGGUAGUUUAACUGGGGCGGUUGCCUCCUAAAAGGUAACGGAGGCGCUCGAAGGUUCCCUCAGCCUGGUUGGCAAUCAGGUGUCGAGUGUAAGUGCACAAGGGAGCUUGACUGUGAGACAGACAUGUCGAGCAGCACGAAAGUCGGAACUAGUGAUCCGGCGGUGGCUUGUGGAAGCGCCGUCGCUCAACGGAUAAAAGGUACCCCGGGGAUAACAGGCUGAUCUUGCCCAAGAGUCCAUAUCGACGGCAUGGUUUGGCACCUCGAUGUCGGCUCGUCGCAUCCUGGGGCUGGAGUAGGUCCCAAGGGUUGGGCUGUUCGCCCAUUAAAGCGGUACGCGAGCUGGGUUUAGAACGUCGUGAGACAGUUCGGUCCCUAUCCUCUGCGCGCGCAGGAAACUUGAGAAGGGCUAUCCCUAGUACGAGAGGACCGGGAUGGACGGACCUCUGGUGUGUCAGUUGUUCUGCCAAGAGCACCGCUGAUUAGCUACGUUCGGAAGUGAUAACCGCUGAAAGCAUCUAAGCGGGAAGCACGCUUCAAGAUGAGGUUUCCAUGGGGUUCAUCCCCGAGAGGCUCCCAGCUAGACUACUGGGUUGAUAGGCCGGAUGUGGAAGUGCGGCAACGCAUGGAGCUGACCGGU
rnacentral:rRNA from 1 species